ensembl:snRNA LOC120099616 U2 spliceosomal RNA
AUCGCUUCUCGGCCUUUUGGCUAAGAUCAAGUGUAGAAGGAUUCUUGCAGAUGAGAGAUAUUGAUUUUUUAAUACUUUUAGACACUCAGUUACAUCAGAGUCAAAGUCUUUCUCUGUAGUCACAAAAAUCAAAGCUGAAGAGUGAUUUAUUUUCA